GCUGAGUCAACCUUGAGCCGGUGAGAUUUGAACCGCUGACCUGCUGAACACAGUCAGCUAAAGUGGCCUGCAGUACUGCACUCUAACUGCUGUGCCACCUCGGCUCAAUCAGCUUCUCAUGCCACAUCUACCUCAGACCUUGCACCUAUGGGACAGUGUUCCCAACUGGGUUCUCCCGCCGAUCCAGGGAAUUCCACCGCACCAAGGAACUCUGGUUUGGGCUUACCGGACAGGGCCAGUCAAAGUCAAAUGGACAAAGAGUUGGGCCUACCGGAACAGGCCAGCCAACAAGAUCCAGGUUCACCCACAUCAAACGGGUCUCAAAGUCCCAGUCUGCCGAGCCUGGCAGGCGAGCUUGUAGACCAGGCUCUUGCAGCAGCUCCAAGAUGAUUGGAGUGGGUCAGAGGCCCUCCGUAGUUCCUACAGGAUUAUGUGAGGUUCCUGUCAGUAAGCGGACAGGCCUAGUAUUUCCCUAAAAAUAAGAACACUCUCAAAAUUUUAUUAUAAUGUUGUUGUGUUUGAGAUUUCAUUAAAUAGUAAGUUGUGUCUUAUAAUGUGGUGAGUGUCAGAGAUUAAUAAUUGUGUAUUAUUGAUUAAUUAACACAGGAGACUAGCAGUAUUGUAAUAUUGUAAAGUAUUAAGUAUUGCUAUGGAGAAGUGACAUUGUAGUAGACUAAAAUAGCAAGUAUCUAUUUUUUUUUAACCAAGAGGGGAGGGGUGUUAUGUUCUAACUGUGAUUGACGGAGCAGGUGCAGGAAGCUGCAGUGAGACCCAAGCAGACCAUGUGGCCUACCCAGGUCAGACAGGCUGUCUCCAACCCAACGUAUUUUCCUACUGUGCAAAGUGGGAAAAUACGUUGCAUUUAUUGGCUGACGCUGUUCCCUGCAGAAGGUAUAAAAGGGGGAAGAGCCAUUUUGUGUUGUUCUGUUAAAGUUGAAAUAAAAAAGCAUCUGUUGUUACUCCUGCCUCGUUUCAAUGCCUUAGCAAUGCAAAGAACAGAACAGUUAUGGGCCCAGAUCCCAGCCAGCCCUUGCACACAGGAGACUGGAAAAAAAAAGUUUGAGGCUCAACACGGAGUUGUAAUUAAGCUGAAGGGCUGUCUAAAUUAAACUAAGAAAGAAAAAGGCUGCUCAGCUGAAGGCUUGCAGGAUGGCUGAUUUAAAGCAGUAAAGUGAUCGGCCAUUUCACUGGCUGAUCUUUCCUCCAUCGGCCAUAAGGAGCAUUUCUCAGACUGUGGAAGGAGCUGCUGCCCUUCCAUAGUCGAUGACGGCCUCCUCAAUGGUAGUCGCCCCUCCACGGCAACUUUUCAACCCGAUUAAGGGUCUACCUGCAGAAGGAAAGCAGCCGCCAAAGAGAGCAGUCUUUCUGAUCGGCUGUAGACACUGCAAUCUGGAACCAGAAGUAAUUGAAAUGUCCAAAGAAGAAACAGUUUGGUGAUAACAUCUGUAUGCAAAGGCCCAGCUAAUGGACUUCAUGGAUAUCUAUGGUGUAAAGAAACAGAAGAAGAAAAACACAUGGACAUAUAAUAAGAAAAGUAUUUUAAAAAUCUAAAUUCUUUUAAAAGCAAGGAUAAAUCCAGCAAUCUCACCAUUAGCAUCAUCAUCCCAUGCUUUUUACUCUAACGAAAUGUCAAUGGUAUCUUCAGAUUCAGGAAACAGAUUCAAAACACGAUAAGUAUUGUUUCACAAAGGAAGGAAUCUACUAUCAUGGUUAAUAUAUGUCUACAAAUAACUGAAAAGAUUAAAAAUGAUAAAGGGGGGGGAACCUGGAAAAAAAUGACAGAAUCUGAAAAUCUUAUACAAAAACAAGACCAUUUAUUAGGUGGCAUCUAUAAACAUUGAAAUACAACAUGGAGAGAGAACAAAUAAAAAUUGCAUGAUAAAAUGAAUGCAAAAUUUCAAGAAGUAAUUGCAGUGCAUCAGUGUGAAGAAUUGUGGAAAAUGAAUUUAUAUUUAUUAUUCAAAAUAAAUUUAUUACACUAUUAAAAAGAAUAAAAUCUAUUGUCAAAUUUUCUACAAGUUUUAAAACUUGCCUUUUUAUUUUUAAUAUAAUCUUUAUUUUUAAAAGAACAAUCUUAUAGAAAAAAUAUUAAAAGAAGAAAAGUACAGACUAAAAAUAGGAACUAAGAAAAAGAGGCAGAAAAAGGGGGAAAAUCUAUAUUUUAUACUUAUCAAUAGUCCCUAGUUUAUCAAUGAAUUCACAAUUGUAUUAUGAACAAUGCAAAAUAUUGUAAAUUACAAGUAAUCCUCAACUUAGCACAACUGAGCCCAAAAUUUCUGUUCUAAGUGAGAGAGUUGUUAAGUGAAUUUUGCCUCAUUUUAUAACCUUGCCACAGUUGUUAAGGGAAUCACUGCAGUUGUUAAGUUAGUAACAUGGCUGUUAAGUAAAUCUGGCUUCCCCAUUGCCUUUGCUUAUCAGAAAGUCACAAAAAGUGAUCAUAUGACCCCGAGACAUUGCAGCUAUAAAUAAUAUUCAACUAUCAAUAAAUAUGAGACAGUGACUAAGCAUCUAAAUUUUCAUCACAUGACAUGGGGGAUGCUGGAAUGGUUGCAAGUGUGAAAAACAUAAGUCAGUUUUAUCAGUGCUGUUGUAACUUCUAAGGAUCACUAAAUGAACUGUUGUAAAUCAAAGACUCUACAAUAACAAAUAUUGCUGCACCUUUUUUCCUGCCUAAACCUUUUUAAAGACUCUCUGCCUAGUUGCAUGAUCAAAAAAGGUGUUUCUUCGCUACCAGUUUUCCUCAUAGUCCACAACUCCCAUUCCCCUCCCCUUCUGCUUGGCACAAUGGCAGACAGUUCUGUACAUCAAUCAAGGUGGAGGAGGAGUGAUUUCUGACACUCCUUGCCAGCUUCCUACAAGCAACAUCAAUGGGAAAGUCAGCAGGAAUUUGGAAGUCAUUCAUAUUCCCACUGGGUUUUGUUUUUUUGUUUUUUGUUUGCCCAGGGUCCUUCUGUUUCUCUGUUUAGAUAAGGUAUUAUCUCUGAAAGUAUGACCCAGUGGGGCAUGGGCUGUCUGAUAUCAAUGUAAAAGUAGAAAAUUGUCCCUUACAUUAUUGUUGCAAACCAACUGCUGCUAUUUCUUAAAUAUUACAAAAUUAAUUUCUACUAGCAACAAGUAAAAAUAUGAAAAGUUGACUAUGCUUUCAGGAUUUGUUUUUUAAAAAGAAAAUACUGGUUUUUUUGUCUACAUAAAUAAGAAUAUUUUUUAAAAAACUGGAACUAAUUUUUAGCAAGAAAAGAAAAGGGGGAGUGCAAACUGGUUUAAAGUAUUGACUAACGGAUAUUUAUACAUAGGGAAGUUUACAUACUAAUACAUGUUAAAAGCCUCACUGUUUUCUCAAUGCUUUAGAGUCUUCACUUGACAGAUGUUUGAAAAGGUGUGCCAGUUAAAGAUUGCAUGGUCAAAUGGGCUCAAAAUUUUGAUGAGCCGGUUUUAUUAGAAACAUGGGAGAUAAUUUGGG